ensembl:lncRNA
UUCUGGUUUGACCAGUGCUUAAUAAUAAGUAGCUCCUCCAUUUUUAUCAACUAAAGAGACCAAGUCCUGACUUUUUGUUUUAUAUUGGCUUGACGGAGGCUUGUGAAAUCAGAGGUCAAAAUUCACCUACAUAAAAUUGACGCAAAGUAAAAGCAUCCUCUACCAGAAGCAAAUGCAUCUACCACAUCCUUUCCCAGUAAGUGAAUUGGCUUUUGCACCAGGCAAAUUUUAUUUGGUCUGACUGCUGCUUUAUCUAAAAAAGCAGAAAAGUGUCGUUUUUAGGUGGUUCCCGAAUCAAAGUAGCAAGGGGUCAAAUAUCAUAACUGCUAUGGCUACACUGUAGAUGCUGGCACCUCUGUAACUGGUAGUGUGCAAUCUAUUUGACAGUAUUAAAUUCCACCUUGUCUCAGCUUGUUGUUUGAUUGAAGGAAAUGACUGACUUGUUUUUGAGAUGUGCUACCUUCCCCAAAAACAAGGUAAGCGCUCUUGCAGUAGUGGUCUAUGCCAGUGGUUUUCAAUCCUUGUCUUCGAGUUCCUUGCAUAUUUUGGUGUUGUCCCUGCAGCCAACUCAGCAGACUCAACUAAUUAAUUAAGGUCACUGAAAAUAACAAUUGCUGAGCAGGAUAAAAAAAAAACAAGCAAAAAAACAAUCCAAGUACAUCUAUAGUUGAGGCUAAUUAUUAACUAGUGUGAUGUAGCUGAGGAUGAGGAGCCAGAAUUUACAGACCAUGCGUCUUUAAAUUCAGGGUUUCUGGGAUUAUAGUGGUAGGGUUCAUAUAUAUUUAAAAUAAUAAUAAUAAUAAUCAAAUAAAAUAAAAACUUCCAUUUUAAGUCAUGCUCACUUUGCCAGGUAUUGGUAGUGGCUGUAUUGACAGGAGAACAAACAAAAGAAAGUUAAAAUGAGAAUCAUACAGAUAGUGAAACAAGAACUAGGGAAACGUGGCAGGAAACACAAUGGGACACAGGCUAUAGUCAAUAACAUGGUCCACGUGACAAUAAAUGACAAAAGCUUGACCAAGACACAGAUAGAAACCAGAACUUAUAUAGAGGAAUUCAUUAGGUGUUACAGCAAACAGGUGCAAGGGAUCAAGACAUGUGACACCACCAUGUGAUGAUGUACUGGUGCUGAUUUAAAUGAGCACUAAAGCUGAGUAAGUGAUCUACAGCAACAAGUGUUGCUUUCAAUUGGAUGAGGCUAGGGCGUAGCUUUACAUUUUUAAACAUUUAUUCUCUCUCUGAGCUAUGCCCAUAUUUCCUGGCUAGCUCUUAUCACAGCUUCUUUCUUAAGUGCAAUUUUGGCAUUGGACUUCUUUAUCUGGAUUAUUAUUACUACAAUUUGCUUGCCUUGCAUUCCCUCACUCUACCACAAAUUUGUGUCGAUGCUUUGACAGCUUCAAGCUGCGGGGAAGCUCCUACAAGAACAGAAAGGUGAAGUGAGGUCUCACAUAUGACAAAAAGCAGUUGUAAUCCCAGUAGGAAAAUGUCUGGGAAAGUAGGGCAAAGACCCUGGAAAUUAUUAUUACUGUUACUAUUACUUAACAUACUAUUGUUAUUACUAUUAUACUAAAUAAUACAUAAUAAUAGCAGUUCUUUAGUGUUUGUUUCCAGACAUGAAUUUAAAUUUGUACUUCUAAAAGUAUUGAAGUUAUAAAAUCAGUGCAGUGUUCCAAGAAUGGAACUGGGCCUAUGUAGUAAUUUCCUUUGGGAAUCAUCUGAAUGAGAAGAUAACUUAUCUUCUUUCAUUCUCUUUUUAUAUCAUGUGAGAAAUUCUUCUCUGUUUAUGUCUCUUCUCUUUGCACAGAUUAAUGUGAAGCCUGCUUAGAGCUGUAUCAAAUAUUUAAACUGCCCUGAAAGUGUUGCUACCAUCUGCAUGAAAGUAAUCACACAGGCUUAUCAUUUUUGCAUUAGUUACUAAUCAGUGUCUGUGCUAAUCCCUUCUGCUGCAAACAGACAGCACAAAUUCACGCCCAGCCAUGGGAGUGUUCAUUUAAAAUGAACAGGGUUUACAACUCUGACAUCACUCACACCACAGGUACAGACUUCUCGCCAGAAGCUUCUCGCUGUUCAUAAUGCUGCAAUGAAAAAGCAUCUAAUGAGGCAAACGAGCAGGCAGCUCUCUGGCAUUUUAUGAGCAGAGAAACCCACCAUAAUGACUUUUAAUGACAGUUAAAACAGCUGUGGGAUAUUUCUGUGGAAUAUGUGUUACAAUCAUACUUAACGUCUCCAAAUAAACCAAUGGCUGACUCCAUCAUUUUUAAGCACUGGUCAUGUGUGGAGUUCCAUUUGUCUUGACUUCAAAAUGGACCUCAUUAACUUAAAUUUUAAGUUAAUGGUGCUUUCUUGUAUUGUUUUUGGUUGGUUGAUGUGUUUUAAACUUAUGGGCCACCGUAGUUUGGUCAUACCUGCUGUAUUUGUAUCUAUAAUCCAUAUAAAACCUUAGAUCCCAGCAGAAACUGAACAAGAAAAGCACCAACAAAUAACCUGAGAUGUAACAUUAUGUCCGACUUCAGAAUCACUACAUAAAUCAUCACAAUAAUAUUCAAAUAAUCAUAAAGAAAUCCAUCCAUAUCCUACACAGGGUCACUGUGUACCCUGGAGCCUAUCCCAGGCGGGGAAACACCCUGGACAGGGUGCCAAUCCAUCAUAAGGCACAAUCACACACUAUGGACAAUUUAGAGAUGCCAAUCAACCUGUUUUUGGACUGUUGGAGGAAACCAGAGUACCUGGAGGAAACCCUAGAAACAUGUGGAGAACAUGUAAACUCUGCACAUAGAGAGCGAAGGCAGGAUUCAAACCCCCAACCCUGGAAGUGUUGCAUGCUAACCACUAAGCCACCAUGCCCCAUGACAAAUUAUUUUGCCAUGCUGGCCCACGUUUUUGAUUUUGACAAGGUAGAGUUGCAUUUCUCAAUACAACAACUUGUGGCUUUUAUAGAAACACUUUACUUGAACCCUUCCGUCAAGGAACUGGCAUAACAUCAUCAUAAACAUGCUGUGAAAGAUGUCAUAGAGUAUAAACACAGUUCAUGUAGUUCUAUUCUAGUUAUCAUUACUUGUAAACAUUCAUUAACAAUGAACACACACCUCCACACACACGUAUGAUGCACUGAUAUAUCUGUCGAUCUGCUGAUAUGCUGUAUAGCUUAUCUGCAUUCUUUUACUUCAUACAAGUUGAAACUCCCACCCCCUCGCCCCCUCUUAACCUUCCAUCUGUUCGCUCUGAACAUAUUUGCUGUCUAAUUUGCUCAUGGCAACCUCCAUUUUGGUUAUUAGCAAACACUGUGGACAGAAUUAAAUACAUGGCCUCUAAAUUAUGAAAUGCAUGUGUAAUGUUACCUGUGUGAAGUAUAACUAUGGCAAGGGAAAACUCCCUUAAACGACACAACACAGCAGUUUAAUACCACUGCUGUGUUCAGUCUUACUACACCAGUUUUUCUCCCAUAUCAGGAAUGUCAAAAUCAGUGGUGGCACAGAUAUGAUCCUGCUUGGACUCUCCUAGUGUACAGGUCCUAAAUGUUUAACAAAGAUAUCAGUGAGAAGGUCUGAGAUGCUCUGUGUUUCUGUUUACCAAACCACUUGCCAUGACAAAUGUUAGAAGUGAAUGCUAAAACUUAUUGGCUUGGACAUACUGAUACAGAAGACAUUAAAAAACGGUUUAAGGGUAACUUUAUCUAAAAAGAUCUGUGUGUGAUUUCACAGGAAGAAAUUUGCCACCACAAACCCCACGCUUUAACUUAACCUAACUUAAUGGUCAUGAGACCAUAUUGCUUAUCCAUGUGUUUCCUCAGCUGUAUUGUUUAUACUUAAUGCUCAUAUGUGAAACAAAUCUACUGGAAAGUGUACUAGUGAUGUCAUCUAUUGUUCCCGUUUCUGUAUGCUGGGAAAUGUCCUUCGCAAGGAAACAGGAGACAAGUUUCACCCCCACAGACCAUCACAUGUGACCUUCAAGAGCCCUCACAUUCCCUUCUCCAACAGAAAGCGUCCUCAGUAACUGAGAGCCUUAACGCCCACGACAGUGGCACCAGACCAGGGGUCAAUCCCAUUUCAAUUCCAGUAUGACAGAAUAUAAACACUGCCUUUGUGCAAAUAUGAGAAUUCCUAAUGCAAUCAAGAAGAUGAAAAAAAAUAAUUAAUAGAUCCUGCUUUUUAGUUUUUAACACUGAUUUUUCCAUAAUGGCUGCGUCUGCACCGAAGGUCCACCACAAAGCUAUGCAGUACAGUUACAAUGUUUGCUAUUAUUUUUGCUACGAUAACAAUGAGACCCACAUGACAUCUCACAGGGUCAUGACCCCAUCCUUUCACACAUGUGCAGUGGUUUUCAAAAUAAGAAGUGGAAAAGCCUGCUUUGAAACACUUUAUUUGAAGUUUACCUACAUUGGGCUUUUCAUUCAUAAUCAUAGCAUAACCAUAAUGUAUACUCUGCUCAAACAAAUAAGGUUGCAAAGCUUCGACUUUCCUGCUAAUGCUGCCCUCAAUGCCACAGUGCUCAUCAUCUCUUUGAUUGCUAACUAGCCGAGCGAAGUCGCUGCCGCAACUCAGCAACAUAUGUGGGUCAUAUACUGUAACUGCAUUUCACUUACUAAGUAGAAGUCCAAGAUUUGAUAUUUCCACUACUUCCGUGUUAGAUGUCUCAUUAAUACGACAUUGAACGUCACUGAAAUUUGGUGAGUGAGAAAAUAAGCACUUUUCUUUUUAGGAGCUAACAGCAAAACCUGACUAUUAUCCCUUUAUGUUUGUGAUUAUUGAAAGUUUUUCUCAGAUUUAACUGCAUUGUAGGGCGACAGUGGCUCAACAGUUAAGGCUCUGGGUUACUGAUCAAGUAUGGGGUUCAAGCCCCAGCAUCACCAAGCUGCCACUUGGUAGCACCUUGAGCAAGGCCCUUAACCCUCUCUACUCCAAGGACGCCCUGUGCUCUGACCCCAGCUUCUUAACAAGCUAGGAUAUGUGAAAAAAAAAAUUCACUCUGCUUUAAUGUAUAUGUGACAAAUAAAAGCUUCUUGUAAUUACACUAGGAAUGUCCCACUGGGAUGACAGAAAAGGAGACAACCACUAACUUCUCACAGGAAUUAUGAAAAUACAGCACCAACAAAGUAGCACUCUCUUUACAUAAUAUAUCAAUUAAAUUAAGUAUCCUUUCCAUUAAUAAUGAUUUAUUUGACAGUUGGGAAUUCUAAAUAAUUGAAGCUGUGGGUGUGUGUGUGUGUGGGGGGGGGUUAUAUAAUAACACAUAAACAUAAACAUCUUAUGAAUAUUAAAUUAUUAAAAGUCCUUCUGAUCUAUAGACUUUUAAAUAUAACUGAAGUUGUAUUGGAAUGGUGAUUCGUAAUAACAAGAUUCGUAAUAACAACUAGACCCCAGCUUCAUUCAUGGAGUAUCACAUUUCAUAUCCUCCUACAUACAUUUCCCAAAACAGUAAGAUUAUCUCUAAGCUUUAUGAAUAUGCAGUCAAUUACAGGACAAAUUAAUAACUCAAAAGACAAAGACAGAAAAUUACAAGUACAACAGUGUCGAAAUGUCUAAUAUCUUUCAUGUCAACUCAUGGGUUUUGACAUAAAGCUUACCAUACUCCUACAGCAUGGCUCAGUGCUUAUGAAGUGCCUAUGUGUUAUGAAAGCCCAGCAUAGGUCCCCUUCAAAUAGAGUGUUAAAACAUCGCCAUGGGAUUUCAGCAUAAUGUUGUGUAAUACAACCUUAGAUUAAAAAUAUUACAAACAUGCAAGAUUAUAAUUAAUAGCAAAUGAGAGAAGACGAAUGCUUAAAACAGUUUAUACCAGAGCACAGUUGAAUUCUUGAAUUCUCAUUGGUCAAAAGGUUUGUUGAUAUAGUGUUGAUAAGUUUUCUGUGUGGAGAGGUUCAUUUAGCAUUUAUAGAAAGAGUCUCCAGUGUCCGAGCUUUGCAACAGUAAAGCUGAAACUUUUAAGUGUUCCACUAUGGGAAAGUCUUCAGGAUAUUUUGUGUUUUGCCGUUUCUCUGUAGCAUGACAAGCUGAUGUUUUUGUCUCAUUAACUUCAAGAGAGCGAAAAAAGACAAGUUUGUGUGGGUGAGCAACUAUUUACGGCUGUUAUAACAUAAGUGAUAACACGUGCUUCGUGGACAUUCCACACCAUUCAAUGUAUAAAUGGAUUUUUAAAAAAGUAUAAUGAUAAUGAGUCUUUAUUUAUCACAUAUACAUUACAGCACAGUGAAAUUCUUUUCUUCGCAUACCACAGCAUGCCAGGAAGUUGGGGACUGAGUGCAGGGUCAGUCAUGAUACAGUGCCCCUGGAGCAGAGAGGGUUAAGGGCCUUGCUCAAUGGCCCAACAGUAGCAGCUUGGCAGCGCCGGGGCUUGAACCCCUGACCUUCUGAUCAGUAAUCCAGAGCCUUAACAACCAAGCCACUACUGUUCCCCAUUAAUGACUCAUUAAUGGUGUCAUUAAUGAGUCAUUAAUAAAAAAAAAAUUAUCACCAACUUGCUAUGGAGUGAGAGGAAUAAACACUUGGAAAAUCAUCAACUCCAAGGUGGUAACAGUAACGCUGUUUGGUGUCGGGCUACAUCACACCACCCCGUUGUUGAUUAUUUUCCUAUAACAGAUCCACCGCCCCCACCCCAUUCCAACCCCAAGUGUUUUAUUCCAUCCUUGGCUCACAUAUCACUGUGAAAUGAGAGCACCUCAUUUGAAUUUGUGUGUCUGAAAACAGUCACAGCUCAUCCUUGAUGACUGUAUCUCAGUGAUGACACAGACCAGAACUUACAUUGGACCCAUUUCUGACACAGUAUUAGCGGUCACACUGGUUACAAUUGGGUCAUUUCCGGCCCAGAUACCAAAUGCCAUGAUAUACUUAAAUGUCACUGCUUACAGUUGGACCAUUUUUGAACCACAAUACACUUUUUCAAUAACUGACAUACUUAAACAAACAAUUACUUAAAUCAAACAAUUAACCCAGAGAUGAGUUUCAGAUAUGAACAAAACAUACAUAUACAUUGCAGAGUAUAGGCUACAUUGUCUCUUGAGUGUGUGCCAUCUACUGUGUGUCACUGAAUGUAAAGGAUGAUGGAGUCUCUCUGGUUAUGUAACAUACGAGCUGAUCGGUAUUCUGCCUGGAAACAUAGUAAUUGAGUACAUGCGUGCAGCUGCAUCACCAAACGUUCAGAAAAGACAAAUAUUUGAAAAAAAGCCAUCUUAUCAAAUGGACCUAUAAAUAUAAGGUAUUACAGCAGUGAUCUAACCAGCAAUGAGAGUCAAAUUAGACAUAUUUGUGCAGGAAGAAAAGAUACUAAGCCCAUUUGGAAAACAGCCCACAAUUACACCUUAACAAAAUUUCUGAUUUCUAGUAUGGUUAUUCUUUGAGGAGUACUCAGUCAGCAUAUCUAUGAAGAUUUCAGACAUACAUGUAAUUGAAUGCAUAGUACCAGUAAGUCCUACUACUAGUACUACUACAAAUUAUUUUUAAGUAACACAAGAGCACACUUACAUACAGCUAAAAGUAUUAACAAGGCGCAUAUCCUUGGUAUGUUCAGGACAACAGUGUUAGAAGGUUCUCACCAGACUGGACAUAGAAGUUAGUCAUCAUGCUAUGGAUAACAUCAGAGCCUCUUGGUGGCCCUUUGGAGCACGUCUUAGCAUUAUGCCCCCUACCACUCAAUGAUACAACAUACUUCGUCAUAGAAAACAGCUGCUUUUCAAAUGAACUUAAAGGAACACUUGAAGUGUUGCUUCAACCUAAUUUCUAGAACUGGAAACAUUUCAGCAUAUUUCCCUGAACGGAAAGCAGAAAUGAGAAAUGACUUUGCUUAUACAACUGCUUAUACAACCCCAAUUCUGAGAAAGUUGGGACAGUAUGGAAAAUGCAAAAAAAAAAAAAAUUACAAGAACAAUCAUUUGAAAAUUCUCUUCACCCUGUAUUACACUGAAAACACAUCAUUAACACAUGAUUUGAUAUUUUUCUUCGUGAAUUUAAUUUAUUUUGUAAAAAUACACUCAUUUCAAAUCUGAUGACUGAAACACACUCCAAAAACGUUGGGACAGUCGACUGUUUACCACUGUGCUAACACCCGCUUUCUCUGCUUACGCAAGCAUGCACUUGUAAUCCAGGCAGAAUGUGGUUUGGCGUUGUUCUGCUCCGGAUGGCAGCAUAUGUUGCUCCAAAAUGUUUAUAUUUCUUUCUGCAUUAAUGCUGCCCUCACAGAUGUGUAAGUUACCCAUGCCAUGGGCACUGACACACCUCCAUACCACGACAGACACUGGCUUUAGGACCUGACACUGAUAACAGCUUGGAUGGUCGUUUUCCUCUUUGGCCCGGAGAACACGAUGGCUAUUUUGUCCAAAAACUAUUUGAAAUGUUGACUCGUCAGACCACCAAACACGAUUCCACUGUGCUACUGUCCAUCUCAGAUGAGACCGAGCCCAGAGAAGUCGGCGGCACUUCUGGACAGUGUUGAUGUAUGGCUUCUGCUUUGCAUAGUAAAGCGUUAACUUGCAUCUGUGGAUGCAGCUGCGAAUGGUGUUGAGUAACAAAGGUUUACCAAAGUAUUCCCGAGCCAAUGUCAGGAUAUCUAUUACAGACUCAUGACAGUUUUUAAGACAGUUACGUCUGAGGGAUCGGAGAUCACACUCAUUCAGAAGUGAUUUUCAGCCUUGUCCUUUAUGCGCUGAGAUUUAACUGGAUUCCUUGAAUCUUUUAAUUAUAUUGUGCACUGUAGAAGGUGAAAUACCCCAAAUCCUACCAAUUUGUCUUUUGGGAAUGUUGUUCUCAAAGUGUUUUUUAUUCGCUGAUGCAUCUGUUGGCAGAUUGCCGAGCCUCAACCCAUCCUUGCUCUUGAAGGACUAGGCCUUUUUUGGAGACUCCUUAUAUACUAUGAUUAGACGAUUGCCUCACCUGUUUCACAUCAGCGUCUUAUUUCAACUUGUCACAUCGCUAUUAAUCCUAAAUUGCCCCUGUCCCAACUUUUUUGGAACAUGUUGCAUGCAUCAAUUUAAAAAUAAACAUUUACCUUCAAAAAACUAUGCAGUUGAUCAGGUAAAACAUCAAAUACCUUGUCUUUAUACAUUUUAUUGUUUAAAUACAAGUCAAAGUACAUUUACAAAUCACUCCUCUUUGUUUUUAUUAGCAUUUUCCAUACAGUCCCAACUGUUUUGGAAUUGGGGUUGUAUAAAAACUCACAUAUAGACAAAGUAAAAGGGCAGUUGUUGAAAGCAAAUUCAAAAAAACUUGAUGAGACAGAUGUCUGACACACAGUAAAACUAAUUCUUGUUACUUACACUUACGCUUAAGGUUUCUCAUUUUAACCAUGCGUGAGAAGGUCAAAAUGGAUGCAUUUCCAUGUUUAUGCGUGUACACUAUGUAAGAGAUAAAACAUGAUUUGGUUACUGUUAUAGGAAAACAACCAAUGAUGGGACGUUUCAGGAAAGGGCAUUACCACCCAAAAGUUAUUUUCCUAUAACUCAUUUCUUGAGGUGGUUUACUCCAAGUAAACCUCAGCAAUUUUCAGUUUGUUAUCAUUUACGUUAAAACAGCUAUAAACAGUGGUUCUCUCACUAGCUUCUCUUUUCUCUUGAAGUUAACAAGAUAACAAAUAGAACUCAACUCAAACAGUGUCGACGAGGUGAAGAACAGUCUUUAUUUAUUAUUAAUCUGUAUGCCUCACAUACCUUUAAAGCGAUUGAAAAAACAUUUCAGAUAUAUUUUGACCUUGUUGUGACCUUUACCUUGCUUGGAUCAAUUCCGCAAUCGAAUCAGUUCAUCUGCUGGUUAUAAUGAUACUUCCAUAUAAAUCCUACAAACAUUUUACUAUUUGUUCUCGAGAUAUCAUGCCAAGAAUAAUCUCAGAUGAAUGCAUGGAUGGAGGUACUGACACACGGAUGCACGGACACCACAAAAACAUAAUAAAAAAACACAGUGUGUCAUGUUACCGAGUAACUACAAAGUGCAAAGACAUCUGUCUUGUUUUCUGUGUUGGAAAACUUAACUUAGCAAAGCACUGGCACUGGAGACUCCUUCCAAAUGAUCUAAAUGGCUCUUUAAUGAAAACCUCACUAUGUCAGUGAUUAGACAUUUUACAUCCAUUUAUUAUUAGGCAUUGAUUAUUUGGAAUGUCUGCCACACAAGUAGCUCUGAAUGAGUUGUUACUAUAGAAACGAUAAAUAAUGCAUUCGAAUGAGAAUUAGUAUUGAAUUACAGCUGGCGAUACUUUCAGUGUUGCAAUCAAUCAACACCUUCUAACCAGUCAGAGAUUGAAAACUGUUGGCAUAUUCCUUUCAAAUUUCGAAAGUGGCUGAUCUUCAUUGUAUAUGUACGAUACAUUGAGUGUUAUACAUUUAUUAGACAUGUAAGAAAACAGCUUUGCAGUAGAUGAUUUGAAACAAGCUCUUCAAAUUCUCAGGUUGAAACCAAAAAACAAACAUGCUUGCUCUUGAUAAGUUAUGAGUCAAGCAGCUGUAAGACUCCCACAGGACCUCCUUUACAGGAGAACAGUGCAAUCUCAGCUCCCUCAUUUCCUCGCCGUAAAGUUCCGGAUCCAACAGGACAAGCUCUCUGUCAUUUUCUGGGCAGCAGUAAAGAGUGUCAUCACUAGAUGAAGCAAUCCAGCAUAAUGAAAGCAGUGCUGCACUAAAACCUGAUCAAACGCACCGCUCAGGGCUCGGGUGACCCUUGGCUUGUGAACAGCCAGAUGGAUGAUAUUACUGCAGCCCAGUGGAGAGAAAGGAGGGAGGGGGGGAUUUGACUAAAACAAACCUCAAAACAAUGAGAGAGUGAAAUAUGCAGAGGGAUAUGAGAGAUAAGGUAAAGAUUUCAGUGAUGUCUGUCUGGUUCCCUCAUCUCACAUGCUAACCUUAUACACAGCCAUGCUGCCACAAGAGGGAAAAAAAACGAGACAGAUGAGAGGAAAUGAAAAGGCAUUCAUCAAAGGCUACAAGAUAGCAGAGCAGCCUAAUGAUGGAGCUGACAGAAAAGCAAUGUCUUAUCUCACCUUUCUUCCUUCUUGUCUCUGAGGGAUUCUUCCCGUCUCCACUGCAGAGGCGAGGCAGACCUGCAGACCUGGGCUCAGAGAAGCAGCGGCAGUCCCUCCUUUCUUCCCCUCGAGCAUACACAGCAUCCGGAGCUGCAGUACACUCGCUAUUGAGGACUACGAAGGGGGAUGGCAGAGAGCUCCCAUAACACAAGAGCCAUACUGUGAAACUGAACACACCUCCUCCCCAAGUGUUCACCCAAUAGCAGCUUGAGGGUUCUCUACACAUACAUAUACAUGCAAGCACACACUCUCUCUCUCUCUCUCGCACACACAUACACACACACACACACACACACACACACACACCAGCCAACACCACCCCAAUAGCACUUGCUUGCUCACUUGCCCCCCCACACAUAAACAUUGAUGAGAGGAAAAACAACAAGGUAUGAAAAUGAGUGCCUCUUUUUUUUUAAUGCACUUGUGAAAUCAGCAAAAAUGCACCAUAUGGAAGGAAUAAAGGACUAUAGCCAUGACCUGGUCUGUGAUCAUCCUGAAACAUGAAGACACUUUCUAUCACAGAAAAAAUGCUGCUAUUGAAACUAGCACUGAUUGAAAAACCAUCAUGCCUCUUGAAGGAGGGAUAAAACAAUCCAGGACAUGCCAGUCAUUCAUGCAGCAGGGUUGUAUUUCUCUACAUUUUUUUCUUCUUUCAUUCAGUUUCUGUUUUGUCUCCUACAGAGCAUAGAGUAAGCUUCAGUGUUAAGCCUAAGGAAACUAAGGAGCAGUAGAAGAAGAGGUGUGUGUGUGUAUGUGUGUGUGUACAGUAUGUGUUUGUGUGCCUCUCUUCCACAUCUGUGUGCACACUACCGCGCGUGCUUCAGUAUUGUCUAGUAACGCGCAUGCGCACAACCCUUCCCACGCCCCAGUGUUAUUUAGCUCGUAUUAACCGAUAUAACGAUAUUGGGAAUGAAGACACAACACAUUCAGGAUCUUCUGGCUUGGUUUCUGAUAUACAAGCACAACUUUUCACCUCACAAGGAUUUCAUUUGGAAUAAUUGUAAUAUUCUAGAUAAAAAUGCAUAUUUUCAGACUUGGUUUGAUAAAAAUAAAAAUAAAAAGUCAGUUAGGGAUGUUG